AUUGAACGCUGGCGGCAUGCCUUACACAUGCAAGUCGAACGGUAACGCGGGGCAACCUGGCGACGAGUGGCGAACGGGUGAGUAAUGUAUCGGAACGUGCCCAGUUGUGGGGGAUAACUGCUCGAAAGAGCAGCUAAUACCGCAUACGACCUGAGGGUGAAAGCGGGGGAUCGCAAGACCUCGCGCAAUUGGAGCGGCCGAUAUCAGAUUAGGUAGUUGGUGAGGUAAAGGCCCACCAAGCCGACGAUCUGUAGCUGGUCAGAGAGGACGACCAGCCAAACUGGGACUGGGACACGGACCAGACGCAUACGGGAGGCAGCAGUGGGGAAUUUUGGACAAUGGACGCAAAUCUGAUCCAGCCAUGCCGCGUGCGGGAAGAAGGCCUUCGGGUUGUAAACCGCUUUUGUCAGGGAAGAAACGCUCUGGGUUAAUACCUCGGGGUAAUGACGGUACCUGAAGAAUAAGCACCGGCUAACUACGUGCCAGCCGCCGCCGUAAAAC
rnacentral:rRNA from 1 species